UCGGGAAUUUUGGACAAUGGGGGCAACCCUGAUCCAGCAAUGCCGCGUGUGUGAAGAAGGCCUUCGGGUUGUAAAGCACUUUUGUCCGGAAAGAAAUAGCGCUGGUUAAUACCCGGCGUUGAUGACGGUACCGGAAGAAUAAGCACCGGCUAACUACGUG
rnacentral:rRNA from 1 species